UGGGGAAUAUUGCACAAUGGGCGAAAGCCUGAUGCAGCGACGCCGCGUGAGGGAUGACGGCCUUCGGGUUGUAAACCUCUUUCAGUAGGGACGAAGCGCAAGUGACGGUACCUGCAGAAGAAGCACCGGCUAACUACGUGCCAGCAGCCGCGGUAAUACGUAGGGUGCGAGCGUUGUCCGGAAUUACUGGGCGUAAAGAGCUCGUAGGCGGUUUGUCACGUCGUCUGUGAAAUCCUAGGGCUUAACCCUGGACGUGCAGGCGAUACGGGCUGACUUGAGUACUACAGGAGAGACUGGAAUUUCUGGUGUAUCGGUGGAAUGCACAGAUAUCAGGAAGAACACCGAUGGCGAAGGCAGGUCUCUGGGUAGUAACUGACGCUGAGGAGCGAAAGCAUGGGUAGCGAACAGG
rnacentral:rRNA from 1 species